AACGAACGCUGGCUGCGUGCCUAACACAUGCAAGUCGAACGGAAUGAGGGGCUUGCUCCUCAUUUAGUGGCGCACGGGUGAGUAACGCGUAGAUAAUCUGCCUGAUGAUCUGGGAUAACAUUUCGAAAGAGGUGCUAAUACCGGAUAAGCCCACGACGGCUUCGGUACUUGCGGGAAAAGGGGGGGACCUUUUGGCCUUCUGUCAUCAGAUGAGUCUGGGUACCAUUAGCUAGUUGGUAGGGUAAAGGCCUACCAAGGCGACGAUGGUUAGCUGGUCUGAAAGGAUGAUCAGCCACACUGGAACUGAGACACGGUCCAGACUCCUACGGGAGGAAGCAGUGGGGAAUUUUGCGCAAUGGGCGAAAGCCUGACGCAGCAACGCCGCGUGAGUGAUGAAGGCUUUCGGGUCGUAAAGCUCUGUCAGGGGGAAAGAAGUGUAUUGUGGCUAAUAUCCACGAUACUUGACGGUACCCCCAAAGGAAGCACCGGCUAACUCCGUGCCAGCCGCCGCCGUAAUAC
rnacentral:rRNA from 1 species